AUUGAACGCUGGCGGCAGGCCUAACACAUGCAAGUCGAGCGGAUGAGAGGAGCUCGCUUCUCGAUUCAGCGGCGGACGGGUGAGUAAUGCCUAGGAAUCUGCCUGGUAGUGGGGGACAACGUUUCGAAAGGAACGCUAAUACCGCAUACGUCCCACGGGAGAAAGCAGGGGACCUUCGGGCCUUGCGCUAUCAGAUGAGCCUAGGUCGGAUUAGCUAGUUGGUGAGGUAAUGGCUCACCAAGGCGACGAUCCGUAACUGGUCUGAGAGGAUGAUCAGACACACUGGAACUGAGACACGGUCCAGACUCCUACGGGAGGCAGCAGUGGGGAAUAUUGGGCAAUGGGCGAAAGCCUGAUCCAGCCAUGCCGCGUGUGUGAAGAAGGUCUUCGGAUUGUAAAGCACUUUAAGUUGGGAGGAAGGGCAGUAAGUUAAUACCUUGCUGUUUUGACGUUACCGACAGAAUAAGCACCGGCUAACUUCGUGCCAGCCGCCGCCGUAACAC
rnacentral:rRNA from 1 species